AAGUAUUUCAGGUAACUCUGUUUGUUUUAACGAAUGCAAUGGAACUGCUGGGUGUCGAGUGGUGAACGGACAACCUGUGUGUUUUUGUAAUAGCGGUUACACUUUAAAAGAUAAUACAUCUUGUGUUGAUACCAAUGAAUGUCUGAAUAA